AUCCCCAUCUUUAAAAUAUCAGUACAAAGAAAAAAUCAUAAAGAUGUAAUGUUUUCUGUCAGAAUAAUCUUUUUACUAGUAGAACCCAUAAAACUCAAGGAAGUGGCUUGAUUAUAUGAGCCAAGAAGAUGGUUUUGCCCUUAGAUGCUGUAUUACUACUUGUGGUUUUCUGGAGAUACAGCUAAAGAUAAAGAGCAAACUGUGAAGAUCCAUAGAAGGUGCUGACCGCAAAUGCUCAACUUUGAAAUGAAAAAUGGAAUACAAGAUGCCUGGAUGUAGAGAAUUAAAAAUGUAUCAAGUCAGCUGGCUUAGCAAGAUCAUAGUGAAAAUGUGAGUGGAAAGCUAAGCACUGCAGCUCUUGUCUUGGCUAUGAAAGCAAAGCAAAGUCAAUAAGACAGCAGGGAGGUUAGGAGCCCUGGCACCAUAUAGGAGCCAAGACCAAUGAGCAUGAAAGGCAGAUCUUGGAGACCUGCCACGAAUCAGGGUAUUGAAGGAUGCCAAGCUUCUCAACCACCAGGCCUUUCAGAGGGAUUGAGAUCCCAGGGUUUUGUCACCAUUGGAAAAAGUACAGAAGUCUGGAAAGCUGCACAAGAAAACCACCAAAAGCACUGGGGGCCCUGAGGCAGUCCUAUCAUGAGGCUCACAGAUGCUCUAUGGUCUGUCAUGUGUCAUCGUUUGCCAGAAGGCUGUGAAGCCAUAACCUUAUGCAGUGUUUUUAAUUUUGGUGGACAUGUGAAAAUCUGUUUCACCAUAAAAUAGUCAGCCAGCUCUAUGAUCUUCAUGAUUUGCCCUGAAUUGCACUGAAUAUCUGUUUUAUCAUGCGCAAGUAAAUGUGGGUAGAAAUUCACUCUGAAGGUGAUGAAGCUAGUUCCAAGGGUAAGAAAGUUACAAUGGGAAACUAUAAGAGGUCAGAAACCUGGUUAUAUAGUUUCUGAUACAUUAGGGAUUUUUGGUGAGGAGGUUGCAGCUGUCCUAAAUUCAGUCUGCAUAUCUGUGCUAUCCAUUUUCUGACAUACUUACACCUUCCUCAUUCAUCUACGCUGUCUGUACAUUGCAUUGCUUUGUGCUUGUCAACAGAAACUCUCGUUCCUUAGGGUGUUUCUGUGGUGCCUAUGCUCUCUGAUUUAAUACAAGUGACAGAAAUAAUAAUUCAUCUCUGUCAAUAAUUGCUUGCAUUGCAGCAGUGGUAUGGGAAGUCCCAUACUUUCUUCUUUCCACCAAGUUAGUAAUCACAGCAAUGCUGUGGCUUAAAUGGGUAUGUUGUAUCCAUGUAUGAAUCACCAAUGGGAAUUUUCUGUCUGAUGUGUAGUGAUGCUAACCGAGAGCUUUUCCUCUUCUCUUGCACACUACACUACCAAAUGUUAGAAAUCUAUUUCUUUUACAGGGAUUAACACAGUAAACUUGAUCUGAAAAUGUAAUGAGAAGCAUAUUGAGGAAUCCAUUAAGCAUGCAAUAGCUGCAAAGAUGGAAAGUAGCCUUGAUAAAAGUUAAAUUCAGAAACACCCUUUCAAACAGGAACCAACUCUUAUUUUCUAAAUCCAAUGAUGACAGGAAUUAUAGUAGCUUAAUGCUGAAACAGUGACCUGCAGAAAUUCUAAUUGUUUUUGUACUUAAAAUUUACCACGAUAAGUUACUAUAAAGCAAGCAAGAAACAAGAACAAACUUCUCCAGUUGUACAAAAAUAGAGAGCCCUCAGACAGAAACUGUGGGGUGUUCAAGAUAAGAUUGAGAGAACACAGCAGUUAUAUUACAUAAUUACUGCUCCACUCGUAAAACAUUUAAACUGUUUACUUCCCACUUACAUAUCUAGAGUAAUGCUAACACCUUGCUUUGUGAAAUCCUCCAGGGUCCAACACGUCAGGGACUAGAUCAUUAUUAUCAUUAUAGCAAAGAUGAAGGAAUAUUGUGCAAAUAGUUCUAGAUUUAACUAUGCUGAUUUUUAAAUAUUUUAAAAUUCUCUCUUGUUAUAUGAGAAAGAAUAUAUUUAGGAAACAUUUAUUUUGCAAUGCGCAUUUCUGCACAUUUCUGUUCCUUAGGGAUUUUUUAACUAUCUGAAAAAUUAGAAGUGUGAAAUUUUAGGGCUGGAUUUUACUGGGUUUUUGGAUUAGCUAUCUUAUGUAAAAAUUGCUCAUAAUGUUCAAAGAACGAGUUGCCUUCUCAGAGAAAUCUGUGUGUAACUGAAGGCUGCUAAAUUUCAAGGAGCAAAAAUAGUUUGGGUGUUACUUUGUGGUGGAAGGCAUUUAAAAGGAUUAUUUUGGCUAAGCUUGCAACAAAUCUUUGCAAUAGUGAGAUACCAGUCUUUGUGGGAAGAAUGUUUGUCUAAUUGGAACUUUGUUGACUUGGCAAAACACUAGCUGAUGACAUGCAGGGAAGCUUCUUGUAUUAGCAGAGAACGACAGGAAGAUAAGCUAGUAGGUCUUUUAGACACUGCAUUCUGGACUCUCCCUUUCCUCCCAUACAAAUAGAAAGGAAAUUAAAAAGAGGAAGGUGAUACUGAAAAUAUGAGAACGUGUUCCUCUGUGACACUCCCUUUGCUUCCUAAUAGUAUCUCAGCAGGAAGUUCUGCAGCAGUAGCCUUUCUUGUGAGAUUAUUGAUAAAAAGUAGAGGUGCUAAACGAAUAAAAAAUAAACAAAUUAUGAAGUUUGAAGAAAUAAAUGUUUCAGAGGAAGUAUAGAGUAGAUUGAAAUACUGAAUAGUGUUCUGGUUCCUUUUUUUUUUUAAUCAAAUUUUUUCAGCUCAUGCUGACAUUAUUUAGGUUUCUAAUACAGCUACAGGGUAUUAAAUAAAUAUGAUAACUUAAAUAUAAUCAGUGGAAGUCUUAUUUAGGCUAAGUAAGGCACACAACUGAACUGAAUUCUGCUAGCAAUCUUUCACAGAUUUCUAGUGUGUUAUCUGGUGAGGAGUUCCUUGUGGGAUGCUUGAUCAGACAUAGCAGCCUAUUUCUCAGGUGUUGCUCUGCGGAUAAAGAUAUUGAAAUGAUUUCUCCUAAUAGAAGUCACUUCUGAAUAUAAUUACUAUGAACAGAUUUUUACCAUUGAGAUACUUUCUAUUUCAUGACUUCUUAUUAUUUUCCUGCCUCUCUUAUUUUCCUGCUGUAACCUGAUUCUCAUUUUACCUCCAGAAGUGAGGUGAUCACCAGGGCACUCAGUUGUGGACUCUCAUUAUGAGCUUGAACAAAACCUCCGAAGAAAAGUUCUCUUUUUUGUUGCAGUCAUAGCACUUUUAAAUGGAUAUAACCUCUCAACUGCCCACAGGCACUUCAGUGUACUAACAUCUCCUCUUUCCCUACACAAAGUCUUGCAUGUGUUUGAAUGAGCGCAUGACUGGCUACGUCAGCAACCUUGGGCAGCAAUAUCUUUGCAAGAGGAGACAAAUCCUCAGGAAUGAACAAAUGCCAGCUAAUUCCAUGUGUCUGGGCUUGAUAUGGUCAUGAAAAAAGAACCAACAACACAACAACAUUUAAAGAAAAUAGUCAAACAAUCCUCAUUUAUACAAGAGUUGCCCUUCUAAAUACCAAAUCUCUACUAGUAUCAGGGAGAAAGAAGUAUUUCCCAGAAUAUUCAGAAAGAUCAGCUGUCUUUAAAGAUUAACAGCACUAAUUUGUGCUUGGUCUUUGGGGCUUUUUGUUUCUUUCUGUGAGAUGCUAAGCAGUCUAAAAUAAUAGCUUUAUUGAAUAGCUGCACUGUGGUUGGUCUAAGCACAACUUAGCAACUAAUGAAGGCCCCUAAAGUUCAGUACAGCCCUCAGCCUGUGACUACAGGAAAAAAUUUAAGACACUAGAAAGAGUAUUUGCCUAGAAGCAGGACACCAUUGUGGUGAGCUUGAUUCCUUCACUCUUUCUGUGUUUACCUAUUCCCUCAGCCCAAUAUACAGGCCCAAGGGUAGCUGUCUGUCUAAUAACUUAUUCAACUGUCUUCUAAAAAAGGAGCGACCCAUGAGUCAUUUCACACUCCCCGGGCCCUCUGUAUGGGUAGCAUGAAAGCUCAACCAUGCACACAAACUGUUUUCUUUCCAUUAAGGUAAUUGGUAUACCCUUUUUGGGGAUAUAUGUCACAUGACUUGACUUCAUUGCCAGGCAGUCAGCCUCACUUCACUUCACUUACUGUAGUGUGGCAUGACCAUGCAGUCAGCCUCUGCAGCAGAUGCCACGCAGACCUGAUAUGAUAACACUAUCACCCAAUCAUGCUUGGGAGCGCAUAGCUUCACGAUAGGCAAGAGACAUUUGCCUUGUGCUGCCCACUGCUUCUAGAUAAUCUCAAGCCUGUCAGUGAGCCUUUCAAAACACAGCCUUACAAGAAUCUUUUUUUUUUUUUUUUUUGCUUCAGCCUUUUAUGGUUAUCAACAAAUUAAAUAUCUGCCCCCCUCCCCCCUCCCAGUUUCAAACCUUCUAAUUCGUUGCCAGUAAAGCUUCUCAGUGAUUAUAGAAAAUGAAGCAGAGCUGCUGUGUGUGGAUAAAAAAGAAGAUUCUUUGAGUCCUUAUUUCCUGAUUUAGUGAAGAAGUUUCAGGUUAGAGCAAACAUAAUAAUUCAAGUAUUGCUGCAAGGCGUAUCUUCAGUAACUUAAGUAGCACUUGUCUUCUUGAUCUUGGUUUUUCUCUCAUUUCCACAAAUACAUCCUGGAACACAAGCUCCUGCUGUUGCAGGCAACUGUGUAUGUAGUCCCUUACAUGCAGUGGUCUAACUCUUUUUUAAAGCCAGGUGAAUUAUUUUUCCUCAUUGCUCCCAUUGUUCAGGAAUUUAAUUCCUCUAAUAGUUAGAAAGAUGCUAAGUCAAAACUAACUGUGACCAUCCUUUGCAGUUAGCUCUUAUACCUCAUUGUCCUCUAAUUUAAAUAGAUCUCUCACUGAGUAAUGCAUUCUGGGGUAUUGUUAGAAAAUGCCUGCAGCAUUGUUUUCAUAGACUAAACAAGACUUUUCCUGUAUGAUAAACUUUCCAAUCUGCUGUUUUCCUGGUACUCCUCCUGUCUUUUCCAAUCUUAAUUCACCUUUAUCCAGCCCAUGGACCAGAACAACAUCCAACACCCCACUGAUGGGUUCACCAGUGCUCUGCUCCUCCUAAAAUCACUUCACCUGCUGCUUCCUAAAGCUUCACUUGCCUUGUUACAGCCAAAUGGCAGUGAUGGUAUCUGAGCAGCCACUGAUGGCUCUGUACAACAAAGUCACAGCUUCUACCGCUAAAUAUUUUUCCAUUUGUACUGAAAGUCACUCAGAAUUACUUACAUAAUAUCAGAGUUCUUCGUAUGUUUCCAACACUGCUCAGUUUCAUGUUAUCAGGGAAAUUUUCUAGCCCAUCAUUAGUUUCUCAGACAACACAGUUUGCAUGAAGCAUAAUAACUGGGAAACAAACAAAAGGAUAGAAAGCUUUUCUCUGUGGAAUUUGUUUAGAUUUUUAACCUGUAUAUCUAGCACAUACCUGAGUAGAUUUCUGUUCACAUAUCUUUAACAGGAACAUGCUAAAGAGACAGUCAGAGACCAAACUUUUUCUUCACAUUUAGAUAUGGCUGACAUUAAAGAGUAUGUUAGUUCAAAGUGGUAUUUUUCUCCCUUAGGCUCAUCUGCUUUUGUUGAUCAGCUUUCUACUCUAAUAAUAUUUUCUUUUUUUCCACUGACUGACAUUUACUUACUGCAGUAGCAAGUCCUUGAUAAUCGCAUUCUCCCACUGGGCUUGUUUAAUAGUGCAGACAGAAAAGGUGGUUUUCAUAGAGUGGAAUUGUUCAGAUUUUAUCUCCUAUGAUAAUCACCAAAGAGGAUUUACAAAUCUAGCAGUGGGGGUAAAAAAAAAGAGAAAAAAAGGAAGAUGCAGGGUUUUAUUUGCAAAUUUUGAAAUGUGGCCUUUAGUUGGGAACUUGCAGACAGAUAAAGGUCAUGCAACUGCCCUCUCUAAUCUUCUGCAACUGGUGUUGAACCCUAUGUCUUCCCUGCUUGAAUAGCAUUUUCCUAAGAAUUAGCUCAGUCAUACAGUCCUAAGUAAAUGUCAGGUUCUCUUUUUCUGUCUUUGUAGGGAAUUCCCCUCCUGUUUCUAGUUUGAACUGGGAGAGUUACUUUUAAUGUGUCCAAGAAAUAUGUUUGAGUAAUGAUGAUUUUUGAAGCUGGGAUUUUCCAUUUCUCACCCUCAAUAAAACCAUAGGAUUUCCAGUCUUAAAUGGUAUAUGAGGUAUGCCCUAUUUGGGGAACUGAUAAAUCCCAACACUACCAAAAUCCAAAGUACACAUCUCUGAAAUUAAGACUAGUCUCCCUUUAAAGGCACCCACUCAUCUUCAGUAAAGGGUGAACCCUGCUAGGGAGAGUUCAAUUAUAACGUGGAAGCUGUCACAGACUCAAGUCAUAUGUCAUUGGUGGGGCUAGAUUCACUGGAAUAAAGAACCUGAAACUUUU